UAUAGCAAUAGCUACUUGCAUCAUCAUUUUCUCAUUUUCUUCUUCUUUUUCUCAUUAUCAGAGAAAAAUCAGAAGAAAAGUAGAGAAAAGUAAAGAUGAUGCAAGAUCGACUAUGUCGAAUAAAAUUCUAGGUAGAAUUAUGAUAAUGACAUUGUCUGCCUAUGUGUCUUGACCAAAUUACGUGCCAGCAGUCGCGGUAAUACGUAGAAGACUAGUGUUAUUCAUGUUUAAUCGGUUUAAAGGGUACCUAGACGGUAAAUCAAGCUUUCAAAGAAAAAAAUAAAGAGAAUUAAAGGACUAAUUUACUAGAGUUACUUAUGAGGGGGUAUUAAAGUACUGCUGGUGUAGAGAUGAAAUUCUGUCAUACCUCUUUUCAAAAGAAAAAUGAUGGCACAGGUAUAGGCGAAGGCAUCCCCUUAUGUGAUAACUGACGUUGAGGGACGAAGGCUUUGUGUAGCGAACAGGAUUAGAUACCCCAGUAGUCGAAGCAGAAAAUGAUGAAUGUCAUAGAUUAGAUAUAUAAGUUUAUUCUAUAAAUGAAAGUGUAAGCAUUCCACCUCAUGAGUAAUUUGGCAACAUUGGAACUGAAAUCAUUAGACCGUUUCUGAAACCAGUAGUGAAGUAUGUUGUUUAAUUUGAUGAUCCGCAAAAAACCUUACCACAAUUUGAAUAUUUAUAUUUUUUAUUGUUUUCUUAUUAAUUUCUUUUACUUUUCUUCUGAAGAAGAAAAUGAGAAAAUUAAUAAAGAGGCAAUAAGAUAUAUUUACAAGCGUUGCACGGCUGUCUUCAGUUAAUGUCGCGAGACUUUGGUUAGUUCCAUUAAAUUAACGUAAACCCUUACUUUAUUUUUAUAUAGAGUAGUUCCCCGCUAUAUUGGAUAUGAUAACAGGGACUAAGACAAGUCAUCAUGGCCUAAAUAUUGU
rnacentral:rRNA from 1 species